UACAGAGGUCUCAAGCGUUGUUCGGAUUCAUUGGGCGUAAAGGGUGCGUAGGUGGCGCCGUAAGUCAGGUGUGAAAUCUCGGAGCUCAACUCCGAAACUGCACUUGAUACUGCGGUGCUCGAGUACUGGAGAGGAGAUUGGAAUUUACGGUGUAGCAGUGAAAUGCGUAGAUAUCGUAAGGAAGACCAGUGGCGAAGGCGAAUCUCUGGACAGUUACUGACACUGAGGCACGAAGGCCAGGGGAGCAAAGCGGG
rnacentral:rRNA from 1 species